rnacentral:rRNA from 1 species
CAGUCGCCGCGGUAAUACGAAGGGGGCUAGCGUUGUUCGGAAUCACUGGGCGUAAAGGGUGCGUAGGCGGAUUCUUAAGUCAGGGGUGAAAUCCCGAGGCUCAACCUCGGAACUGCCUUUGAUACUGGGGAUCUUGAGUCCGGAAGAGGUGAGUGGAACUGCGAGUGUAGAGGUGAAAUUCGUAGAUAUUCGCAAGAACACCGGUGGCGAAGGCGGCUCACUGGUCCGGAACUGACGCUGAGGCACGACAGCGUGGGGAGCAAACAGGAUUAGAUACCCGCGUAGUCCCUGUCUCUUAUAC